CAUGGCAACCUUUAACUAAGGUUUUGCCAAUCCAGAUUGCGAGGGCCGCUCCAUCGGGGCGGCCUUUUUUCGUUUUUGUG
rnacentral:misc_RNA from 1 species